AGGUUCCCAAUGUUAAUCCAAGUCUCUGCCAACAAUGAGUCUGUCCUUUCUCACUGUCUCUCUGGUCUCCAUCCUCUGGCCCUGUCUGUCACUGGGAGCUUUGGUGACUCAGGUGCCGCGGACAGUCACAGCCAGAGAGGGGGACACAGUUACUUUAAAUUGUCACCAGAAGGACACAGCCUAUCAAACAAUGCUCUGGUACCUACAACCCCAUCAGGGAGGCCUCACAUUGAUUGGAUACGGUUAUUUGUCAAACCCAACGAUGGAGGAUGCUUACAAACUUGAGUACGAAGUUAAACAGACAGAUGACUAUAAGAACUGUUCCCUGGAGAUCAAGAAGGCAACCCAGGAGGGGGUGUAUUACUGCGCUGCGAGAGAAGGGCACAGCGUGAGAGAGAGACAGAUCUCUCGUACAUAAACCUCACACAGGAUACACAACCACUCGAUUCUAUACACACACACACACACC